UUUGAUACACAAAACAUGCGUUUCAUGCGUACCUUCCGCUUCAAGCUUUCCUGAAUGACGCCAGGGAUGGGUUCUUUUGGCAGAGAUUGCGUCUUGAGACUCAAGUUUCUAAUAGUUGAAAGGUUUGUUUUGUUGCUUCAGAUGGAAGUAAAGUAUCUUUAGGGCUGGUACGGCAAACAGAUGAACAUGACCCAAAGAUUAAGAUAGAUUCAUGAAACUUAAAAAAAUAUUUUAUGAAUCUUCCCCACUGUUCUAUUUGAAAAAUGGGCCCUUAUGUCACCUACUUGCCACUUCCAGAGGGGUCCUUUCGAGUUGCUUAACUUGCUUUGCAGAGAACCCUGAUAACGAGCUCGAAAUCAGCCUGGAAAAUGGUAAGAUUGGUGAAUUUCUGUUCAAUUGCAUGUAGUUUGUGUCGAGAUUCUCAUGCAGUUCCCACUUCCAGUGAAAAAAGGAAAAAAAAAGAAAAUCCUUAAUAUGGUUCUGAGUCUUCUGACAAUGACUUAAUGAUCCAACUGGUUAGUAUGUGCACAAUUGGAAGUGGAUGUUUGGUUUGAUUUCCAGGAGAUCUUGCCGAAAGAAACAAUAUACUUUUCGUGCCUGCUGGAGAUUUAAUCGCUUUGAUGUUGUCAAGUAUGAGGUAGAUAAGAAUUCUUUUUUAAUAAAACUGGAAUCGAAGCAUGUCAUGAGUUGGUCAACAAGAACUUAUUGUUGCAAGAAUAUACAAACAUAGAGUAUCGAAGAUUCGAAUACAAUAUGAAUAUCUGCACUUCGAACCAAAUGUCGUUACUAUAAAAGAGGCCACAAUUCAGAAUCUCAGAUCCCAUUUCAUCGUUUUUGAGUGUGCAUCUUAAAUUUUGCCUGGGUGAAUUAUGCAGCGCAGUUGGGAAGCACUUGGACGUUUUCUCUAACUCUGAUAGUAAGGUACUGCAUGAACAUUUUUUUUUUUUCAUUUUAUUAGGCAUUAGAUAUUUUGAACUUGUGGGUGGUGCACAUGGGGUGCAUUCUGUACUAAUUUUUCACUGCAGGUGUAAUACAAGGCACUGAAAGUAUGAAAUUUUGAUCGGAGCUAUGAAAGUCUACUUCAUUAAUGUCGAAUAAUUCCUAAACAGAAAAAAGAUCAAGAUUAUUACUAUGAUACAUACAUAUUUUGCAAAUUUAAGACGGUCUGUUGGUAUGGAUGCAACUGGAACUGCAUUUAGGUCUAAAUAUACAUGAGAGUGAGGUAAAAUAAUCAAAGAUUUGUUUUCCUUGCUUCUGCUGUAGGAAUCUGUUUCCUUAUUCGGGGUGGGGGGUUGGACACUUAGCACAUGCCACCAUUUUAAAUGGUGAAGAAAAGUAGAAAGUUUCUCUUUAAGAAUGUCAGCAUGUCUGAAUUUUGGUUGAUAGAACAGACAAGUACUUGCAGAAUUCAAGAAAUCUUCACUUUUUGCUUACACUUUAAGUUGCCUUUUUAAUGCUGGUGGCCAUCUUCUCGAGCAUUCAAUAAACUCUCCCUCUAUUCUCAUCAUAAAAAUUCAUUGCCCUUGGUGAACAGCCUAGAAGGCGUGAUUUUGAUUCCAAGAAGCUUCUUCUCCUAGAGGGAUCGAUAUUGAGGGCUAAACUUCUUCGAAGAACCACCAAGGACUGUUUCUUUUCUUACCCCACGGAAGAUGGAAAGAGGGCUCUUGGCGUGUUCAACUCCAAGGAGCAAGCUGAUAUACUUGUCUAUCCUCCUGAAAGUGCAUCUCAUGGCAUCACACUGAAAUUGCGAGAAUUUGAAGUUACACCCUUAUUGCUGUCGAGAAAUUGUGCAACCAAGCAUCGUCUGCUCUGCUCCAAUUGGACUAGUUAACAUGAUCAGUCCUGAGGGUGCCAUCAAGGAGUUGAGAUGUGAAUCUGCUUGCCGAUCAAAGGUGCACAAUGGAGUAAGGAACAAGGUCUUUUUGGUGGAGAUUUGUGCGGCAUCACCCAGAAAGUGAAAGUUGAUUCCAGAAAAACAAACUACAAAUAUGAUGAAAAAUCUAGGAGGGUUAUUCUUGUUUCAGGAAUUACGGAUGCGGAGUUGAACUUAUGGAUUGCAGAUCUCCAGUAACGAGUGAACUUUGUCUUCUUCAUAGGGCUUCUUUUCUUUGAUGAUUCUCCCCAUUUACUACUGCGAAGAUCUCAGAGUUGUCUCCGAGCAAGCACUGCAAACUUGUAUUAUCCUUCCAUGGAAGU